rnacentral:lncRNA from 1 species
GGUGAAAUAAACAGCCAUGUUGCUCACACAAAGCCUGUUUGGUGGUCUCUUCACACGGACGCUCAUGAAAUUUGGUGAUGUGACUCGGAUAGGGGGACCUCCCUUGGGAGAUCAGUACCCUGUCCUCCUGCUCUUUGCUCCGUGAGAAAGAUCCACCUACAACCUCAGGUCCUUAGACCAACCAGCCCAAGAAACAUCUCACCAAUUUCAAAUCCAGACCCCACUGGAAAUCGGACUGUCCAACUCACCUGACAGCCACUCCCACAGCCGCUGGAACUCUGGCCCAAGGCUCUCUGACUCCUUCCCAGAUCUUCUUGGCUUAGCGGCUGAAGACUGACGCUGCCCGAUCGCCUCGGAAGCCCCCUAGACCAUCACGGACGCCGAGCUUCGGGUAACUCUCACAGUGGAAGACCACCUGACAUCUCAUGAAUGGUCAAUGGAGCCUGCUCUGACUGCAGAAGCCACUGAGAGAUGCACUGGCCAGCCUGGCAUGCAAGCUGGACACUCGCCUUGCCUUUCUGCCAAUUUCAGGGCUUCACUCACCCCAGAAGGUGCUCCUGGGUGCCUUCCUUGGGAGGAAGGCUGGGUUUUUCCUGACAGAGUUUACAGUGGCCAAAUUGAGGAUGGGAAAAUUGUGGGAUGGGGAAGAGAGAUGUUAUCUGAGCUCAGAGAUGAUCAAACCCUUUGUCCCCCAAAGGAUUCGUUAAAUAGGACAAGCCUAGGAUGGGGAUUUGGAGGGUAUUAUUCCAGUGCAAUUAGCCAUGAG